rnacentral:rRNA from 1 species
UACAGAGGGGGCAAGCGUUAUUCGGAAUUAUUGGGCGUAAAGAGCUCGUAGGCGGUGUGUCACGUCGGCCGUGAAAACCUGCAGCUUAACUGUGGGCGUGCGGUCGAUACGGGCAUCACUGGAGUUCGGCAGGGGAGACUGGAAUUCCUGGUGUAGCGGUGAAAUGCGCAGAUAUCGGGAAGAACACCCGUGGCUAAGGCGGCUCUCUAGUACGGUACUGACGCUGAGACGCGAAAGCGUGGGGAGCGAACAGG